AAAAACCCAAAACUACCUCUCCAAGUAUUAAACCCCCUAUUAACUUGCCACCCAUUGGAAUUCCACCGGUGACAGUUCCGCCGAUUGUAAAACCACCUAUCAACUUGCCGCCUGUUAUUCCACCAGUUAUUAAGCCGCCCAUCGGAAUUCCACCUGUCACAGUUCCACCAGUAGUAAAACCACCUAUCAACUUGCCACCAGUUAUCAAGCCACCUAUCGGAAUUCCACCCGUUGUAAAACCACCUAUCAACUUUCCGCCCGUUGUUCCACCUGUUAUUAAGCCACCUAUCGGAAUCCCACCGGUGACAGUUCCACCAGUUCUUAAGCCACCAAUUGGUUUACCACCUAUUGUAAAACCUCCAAUCAACUUACCACCUAUCGGAAUUCCACCCGUGACAGUUCCACCAGUUAUUACACCAUCCCCUAAAGGAAAACCAUGCCCUUCACCACCAACAACAAAGGCAACAUGCCCAAUUAACACCCUAAAACUUGGAGCUUGUGUAGAUCUUCUUGGUGGUCUAGUUCAUAUUGGAAUUGGUGACCCUG
rnacentral:lncRNA from 1 species